CAGCCGCCGCGGUAAUACAGAGGGUGCGAGCGUUAAUCGGAUUUACUGGGCGUAAAGCGUGCGUAGGCGGCUUUUUAAGUCGGAUGUGAAAUCCCUGAGCUUAACUUAGGAAUUGCAUUCGAUACUGGGAAGCUAGAGUAUGGGAGAGGAUGGUAGAAUUCCAGGUGUAGCGGUGAAAUGCGUAGAGAUCUGGAGGAAUACCGAUGGCGAAGGCAGCCAUCUGGCCUAAUACUGACGCUGAGGUACGAAAGCAUGGGGAGCAAACAGGAUUAGAGACCCCGGUAGUCCCUGUCUCUUAUAA
rnacentral:rRNA from 1 species